AGGACAAACGCUGGCGGCGUACCUAAGACAUGCAAGUCGAACGAGGGAGGCUGCUUCGGCGGCCUUUCCGAGUGGCGGACGGGUGAGUAACGCGUAGGAACCUGCCCUGGAGUGGGGGAUACCGCUGGGAAACCGGCGCUAAUACCGCAUGUGGUCAUGCCGGGGAACCGGGAUGACGAAAGCAGCGAUGCGCUCGAGGAGGGGCCUGCGUCCGAUUAGCUGGUUGGUGAGGUAACGGCCCACCAAGGCGACGAUCGGUAGCUGGUCUGAGAGGAUGGUCAGCCACACUGGGACUGAGACACGGCCCAGACUCCUACGGGAGGCAGCAGUUAGGAAAUUUUCGCAAUGGGGGAAACCCUGACGGAGUAACGCCGCGUGGAGGAUGACGGCCUUCGGUUGUAACUCCUUUCUGGGGAGAGUAGAAGACGGUACCCAGGAGAAGCCUCGGCUACUACGCGCCAGCAGCCGC
rnacentral:rRNA from 1 species